rnacentral:rRNA from 1 species
CACGUAGGGGGCAAGCGUUGUCCGGAUUUAUUGGGCGUAAAGGGUGCGUAGGUGGCGCUGUAAGUCGGGUGUGAAAUUUCGGAGCUUAACUCCGAAACUGCAUUCGAUACUGCGGUGCUUGAGGACUGGAGAGGAGACUGGAAUUCAUGGUGUAGCAGUGAAAUGCGUAGAGAUCAUGAGGAAGACCAGUGGCGAAGGCGGGUCUCUGGACAGUUCCUGACACUGAGGCACGAAGGCCAGGGGAGCAAACGGG